rnacentral:rRNA from 1 species
CGGCAAUGGAGGAAACUCUGACCGAGCAACGCCGCGUGAACGAUGAAGUAUUUCGGUACGUAAAGUUCUUUUAUUAGGGAAGAAUAAGUGAUGGAAAAAUCAUUCUGACGGUACCUAAUGAAUAAGCCCCGGCUAACUAUGUGCCAGCAGCCGCGGUAAUACAUAGGGGGCAAGCGUUAUCCGGAAUUAUUGGGCGUAAAGGGUGCGCAGGCGGUUAAAUAAGUUUAUGGUCUAAGUGCAAUGCUCAACAUUGUGAUGCUAUAAAAACUGUUUAGCUAGAGUAAGAUAGAGGCAAGUGAAAUUCCAUGUGUAGUGGUAAAAUGCGUAAAUAUAUGGAGGAACACCAGUAGCGAAGGCGGCUUGCUGGGUCUUUACUGACGCUGAGGCACGAAAGCGUGGGGAGCAAACAGGAUUAGAUACCCUGGUAGUCCACGCCGUAAACGAUGAGUACUAAACGUUGGGUAAAACCAGUGUUGAAGUUAACACAUUAAGUACUCCGCCUGAGUAGUACGUACGCAAGUAUGAAACUUAAAGGAAUUGACGGGACUCCGCACAAGCGGUGGAUCAUGUUGUUUAAUUCGAAGGUACCCGAAAAACCUUACCAGGUCUUGACAUGCUUCUGCAAAGCUGUAGAAACACAGUGGAGGUUAUCAGUUGCACAGGUGGUGCAUGGUUGUCGUCAGCUCGUGUCGUGAGAUGUUGGGUUAAGUCCCGCAACGAGCGCAACCCAUUAUUGUUAGUUACCAGCACGUAAUGGUGGGGACUUUAGCAAGACUGCCAGUGAUAAAUUGGAGGAAGGUGGGGACGACGUCAAAUCAUCAUGCCCCUUAUGACCUGGGCUACAAACGUGAUACAAUGGCUGUUACAAAGAGUAGCUGAA